GGAGAACGAACCGAAUCAAUCCGGUUUGCUUACGAUACUAUCCGACCGAACCGGCUCACUGUUUCUCCGCUGCACCCUUCAGCUGACAGUCUGAACGAAACCCAAACUGCGAUGGCUGAGAUCGCCGACGACUCUCCUCCUUCCGCCUCCGCCUCCGCCUCCGCUUCGGCUGACGCCUGCGCCGUCGAAGAGGCAUCCGAAAAGAGGCCCACAAAGCCCGGUCGAAAGCGUCUCCUCCUCACCCUCUCCGUGCUCCUCUCCUUCCUCUUAGGCCUUCCCUUCUUCCUCAAGUCCACCGAGAUCUACCGAUCUCCUCUCCCCUUCAAAUCGAUCAAUGCUCUCUCCCUCCGUCUCCAAUCCGACCCGCCCUCCCUACCCUGCCGCUUCCAUGCCGUGUUCCUCCGUCCUGUCCCGGACCGUUCCCUCGCCUCCCGUCUCCGCUCCGCUAUCUCCGCCGACAUGAGGAGGCGCGCUGGAGACCGCCCCACCUGCGGCGGCUGCGGCCGGGACUUCGCCGUCUCUGUCACCUUGGAUUUCGGCGGGGACUGCGCGAGGGACGAACGCGGCGAGGAUGGUUCCUGCCUCUGGAGGUGUGGCGCCGUCAGUUUGGAUGGUGUUGGUGCGGAUGAUUCCGGGGUCGACGACUUACUGGAUUCAGCGCUUGGGGGAGCGCCUGCCAAGGAGUGCGCGGAGGCCAGUGGUGGGAGGGUUUACACGGUUGUGGUUGUGGAACGAGAAGAUGAUUUGGGAGUGAGGGUUGUCGUGGGGAAGCAUCGUCAUGCUUGGAUUGUCGGGAAGAUCUCCGAGAAUGAUGUUGUCUCACUCAUAGGGAAGGUGUUCGUGAAAUACUUCAUGAACGGGGGUAAGAAGGUAGGGGAGUUGGCUAAAGGGAUAGGAGAGUUCGUACCUGUUGGUGCUGAUGGCAGUGUGGUACUCUCAUUUAGCCUGUUGAAUGCUGAUCCCAGUGACUGGGUUUAUGAUUGGAAAUUCAAAGAAAUGAGUAACAUCAUGUUGACUCCUUUCGUCAAGGCCCUAACUCCAAUAGCAAACAUAAGCAUUGAAAGUCAGGUGUUGUAUCACACACCUAAAUUGUCACAAUCUUACUGGGAUGAGAAAUCCAGUAGUCACAUCUUCAGCAUAAGAGACCUUCCUUUCUUUGUAAAUUCAAAUGAAUGGCAUCUGGAUACUUCAAUCAUUGCAGCUGGACGAUCAAAAGUUCUGCAAUUUGUGGUCUAUGCACCAUCUGCAAGUGAAUGCCCACUUCUCUUACAGCUUCCUAAUGGAGAGAUCUCUAUGACCAACAGUUUUAUAUCUCCAAUGUGGGGAGGUGUUAUUAUCUGGAAUCCACCUCACUGUGCUGGAGAUUCUCACAACACCUUGCCACCUCAGGAACUUCAAAAAAUAUUUCAAGUUUUCCUUGCACAACUCCGGAUGUUAUUUGGUCUCAAGUCAAAUUAUAUUGAUUCUUCUGAGACAGGAAUAUCAAAAUUUUUGGACAGUGAAAGUGGCUUCACUGAAUGGGAGUUGGAUGUGCUAUAUCGUCAUCAUGCUUGUUUCAAUCUACAUUCAUGUGUCACUACACUCGAGUCACUUGCUAAAUUAGUUCAAUCACUUCCAAGAAUGAUUAUAAUGGAUGAAAUAGGGAAACAGGUGAAGUUUUCGCUUGAAGCUGCAAAUUUAGCUCAGAGGAAUGCAUCUCUUGGAAUCUAUGAUUCUUCAGCUAGCUCUUCUAGACAAGCUAAGGUUUUAGCAGAAGAUGCAUUUUUUCAUCCAUCAAUCAUGUCGAUCAGCUAUUCCUCCAUUGAACACUACUUUGCAAUAUACAUGCCCUUUUUUGCACCAGUCGCUCUUCAUGUGCUUCUAGCUGCAAUCAAAGAACUAAAGAGAUACAAGAGGGAAAGAGCUAAAUACCUGGCAUUCAUUUCCGAGAAAGCCAAGAUGGACUAGUUCUUCAACCUCUACAGUUGUUCUUCACUCAUUUAACACACGACUAUCAGCAUGGCUGUUCUUGCGGUAUUCUAGUUGGCAAACACAGGUUUCUAUUAAAGUUUAGAUGGAAAAAGUGCCUCCAACGUAUCAGAUUUCCUUUGGAAAAGGAUGCUUGAGAAUUGCUUAAUGGUGGAUUUCAUAAACAUCGGUGAUUAUUGCUCAUUUGUUCUCCAAUGCACACAAAUGUUCAAAAGUUUUUCUCAUGUCUUUUUUUUAUCAUAAUUAGUUCUUUAGCAAGUGAGGUAAAAUUUGGUGGUGGUUAUUGUCUUUUUAUUGGGAAAAUGAUCUGUGUUUAGUGUUGUUUUUUUCUCGAAUUAAGCCAGCACUU